CCUCUGUCUUUCUCUGGGGAAGGUUCUGGAAGGAGCUGUUGGGGGUAGCGGCGGGGAUUCGGCUUCACAUGGCGGUGAUCUCCUGGGAAAGGCCCCGCCCGGCUCAAUCCCACCCCCCCCCCCCCCCGGGCCCAGAGGGCUCCCUCCCGGAUCUCGGUCGCACCGGUUAAACUUUUGUCUCUUUGAAGCCCCGUUUUCAGGUCCCGGGUGAAAUGUGGAGCUGGCGGAGCCGGGGCUCUGGCUGGAGGGUGAGCCGAGUCUGGAGCGAGUGGGCGAUAUUACUGGGUUCUGGGAGAAACUCACCUGGUGCGCCCAACUGAAACAUGAAAAUGCAAGGAGAAGAAAUCCCAAGCCAGCAAUGUGCACAAAACUCUUGUCCGCACUAACCUGUUCUGGGUUCACAAGUAAUCCAUGAAACCAUAUCAACCACUGCAGGUGGUGAGCAUUGUUAACUUUGCUUUCAAGACUAAGUUUGACAUUUUCUGGAGUGGACCUGUGCUUCCUUUCCUCCUGGCAAAUCUUUUAAAGAGGAGGCGCUGCUGUAUUUUCACCAGAUGCCACUAUAUUGGACAUGAGUGAAUCAGGCUGUGAUGAGUUUUGAGAACACCACCUCCAUGGAAAAGCUGGAAUGAAUUUCAACAUAUGUCAAAUCUGACCUGAUUCCCCAGCAGAAUAUUACACACUUGAAGUGCCACUUAAGGCUUGUAAAUGUGCAAUAAUCAAUUUUAGGUUAUAUAGAAUAUAUUCAAAUAAAGAGCCUUAUUCAAAUUA